rnacentral:rRNA from 1 species
CCCUUAGAUGUUCUGGGCCGCACGCGCGCUACACUGAUGCAUUCAACGAGUUUAUAACCUUGCUCGAGAGGGCUGGGUAAUCUUUUAAACGUGCAUCGUGAUAGGGAUAGAUUAUUGCAAUUAUUAAUCUUGAACGAGGAAUUCCUAGUAAACGCAGUUCAUCAGACUGCAUUGAUUACGUCCCUGCCCUUUGUACACACCGCCCGUCGCACCUACCGAUUGAAUGGUCCGGUGAAAUUUCGGGACUGAUCGUUUGGUGGUUCAUUCUGCCUUACGAUCGGGAACUUACUUAAACCUUAUCAUUUAGAGGAAGGUGAAGUCGUAACA